rnacentral:tRNA from 1 species
GGACGGUUGGCCGAGUCUGGUUUAUGGCGGCAGACUUGAAAUCUGCAGGCCGCGUAAGCGGUCCGAGGGUUCAAAUCCUUCACCGUCCG